rnacentral:rRNA from 1 species
AUGUGACCUCAAAUCAGGUAGGAUUACCCGCUGAACUUAAGCAUAUCAAUAAGCGGAG